GAUGAACGCUGGCGGCGUGCCUAAUACAUGCAAGUCGAGCGAACAGACGAGGAGCUUGCUCCUCUGACGUUAGCGGCGGACGGGUGAGUAACACGUGGAUAACCUACCUAUAAGACUGGGAUAACUUCGGGAAACCGGAGCUAGUACCGGAUAAUAUAUUGAACCGCAUGGUUCAAUAGUGAAAGACGGUUUUGCUGUCACUUAUAGAUGGAUCCGCGCCGCAUUAGCUAGUUGGUAAGGUAACGGCUUACCAAGGCAACGAUGCGUGGCCGACCUGAGAGGGUGAUCGGCCACACUGGAACUGAGACACGGUCCAGACUCCUACGGGAGGCAGCAGUAGGGAAUCUUCCGCAAUGGGCGAAAGCCUGACGGAGCAACGCCGCGUGAGUGAUGAAGGUCUUCGGAUCGUAAAACUCUGUUAUUAGGGAAGAACAAAUGUGUAAGUAACUAUGCACGUCUUGACGGUACCUAAUCAGAAAGCCACGGCUAACUACGUG
rnacentral:rRNA from 1 species